rnacentral:rRNA from 1 species
GACGAACGCUGGCGGCGUGCUUAACACAUGCAAGUCGAACGAAGUGGCGCACGGGUGAGUAACGCUUAAUCAACCUGCCCUUCAGAGGGGGACAACAGUUGUAAACGACUGCUAAUACCGCAUACUGAAGGAGGGGAUUGCGUCUGAUUAGCUAGUUGGAGGGGUAACGGCCAACCAAGGCGAUGAUCAGUAGCCGGUCUGAGAGGAUUAACGGCCACAGUGGGACUGAGAAACGGCCCAGACUCCUACGGGAGGCAGCAGUGGGGAAUCGUCCGCAAUGGACGAAAGUCUGACGGAGCAACGCCGCGUGAGUGAUGACGGCCUUCGGGUUGUAAAGCUCUGUUAAUCGGGACGCGGUACCGGAAUAGAAAGCCACGGCUAACUACGUGCCAGCAGCCGCGGUAAUAC